GGCAGCAUUUCAGUUUGCUUGCAAACUGGAGAUGGCGACCGGCGCACGGGUGAGUAACACGUAUCCAACCUGCCGACAACUCGGGGAUAGCCUUUCGAAAGAAAGAUUAAUACCCGAUGGCAUAAUUAGACCGCAUGGUCUUAUUAUUAAAGAAUUUCGGUUAUCGAUGGGGAUGCGUUCCAUUAGGCAGUUGGUGAGGUAACGGCUCACCAAACCUUCGAUGGAUAGGGGUUCUGAGAGGAAGGUCCCCCACAUUGGAACUGAGACACGGUCCAAACUCCUACGGGAGGCAGCAGUGAGGAAUAUUGGUCAAUGGACGAGAGUCUGAACCAGCCAAGUAGCGUGAAGGAUGACUGCCCUAUGGGUUGUAAACUUCUUUUAUAUGGGAAUAAAGUUUUCCACGUGUGGAAUUUUGUAUGUACCAUAUGAAUAAGGAUCGGCUAACUCCGUGCCAGCAGCCGCGGUAAUACGGAGGAUCCGAGCGUUAUCCGGAUUUAUUGGGUUUAAAGGGAGCGUAGGUGGACAGUUAAGUCAGUUGUGAAAGUUUGCGGCUCAACCGUAAAAUUGCAGUUGAUACUGGCUGUCUUGAGUACAGUAGAGGUGGGCGGAAUUCGUGGUGUAGCGGUGAAAUGCUUAGAUAUCACGAAGAACUCCGAUUGCGAAGGCAGCUCACUGGACUGCAACUGACACUGAUGCUCGAAAGUGUGGGUAUCA
rnacentral:rRNA from 1 species